UUGGCAGAAUGUCAAGUGUAGGCAUAGGCAGGGCGGGGUGUGUGGCAUCAGGUGUGCGGCAUUGGCAGAAUGUCAAGUGUAGGCAUAGGCAGGGCGGGGUGUGUGGCAUCAGGUGUGCGGCAUUGGCAGAAUGUCAAGUGUAGGCAUAGGCAGGGCGGGGUGUGUGGCAUCAGGUGUGUGGCAUUGGCAGAAUGUCAAGUGUAGGCAUAGGCAGGGCGGGGUGUGUGGCAUCAGGUGUGUGGCAUUGGCAGAAUGUCAAGUGUAGGCAUAGGCAGGGCAUGGUGUGUGGCAUCAGGUGUGUGGCAUUGGCAGAAUGUCAAGUGUAGGCAUAGGCAGGGCGGGGUGUGUGGCAUCAGGUGUGUGGCAUUGGCAGAAUGUCAAGUGUAGGCAUAGGCAGGGCGGGGUGUGUGGCAUCAGGUGUGUGGCAUUGGCAGAAUGUCAAGUGUAGGCAUAGGCAGGGCGGGGUGUGUGGCAUCAGGUGUGCGGCAUUGGCAGAAUGUCAAGUGUAGGCGUAGGCAGGGCGGGGUGUGUGGCAUCAGGUGUGUGGCAUUGGCAGAAUGUCAAGUGUAGGCAUAGGCAGGGCGGGGUGUGUGGCAUCAGGUGUGCGGCAUUGGCAGAAUGUCAAGUGUAGGCAUAGGCAGGGCGGGGUGUGUGGCAUCAGGUGUGUGGCAUUGGCAGAAUGUCAAGUGUAGGCAUAGGCAGGGCAUGGUGUGUGGCAUCAGGUGUGCGGCAUUGGCAGAAUGUCAAGUGUAGGCAUAGGCAGGGCGGGGUGUGUGGCAUCAGGUGUGUGGCAUUGGCAGAAUGUCAAGUGUAGGCAUAGGCAGGGCGGGGUGUGUGGCAUCAGGUGUGUGGCAUUGGCAGAAUGUCAAGUGUAGGCAUAGGCAGGGCGGGGUGUGUGGCAUCAGGUGUGCGGCAUUGGCAGAAUGUCAAGUGUAGGCGUAGGCAGGGCGGGGUGUGUGGCAUCAGGUGUGUGGCAUUGGCAGAAUGUCAAGUGUAGGCAUAGGCAGGGCAUGGUGUGUGGCAUCAGGUGUGUGGCAUUGGCAGAAUGUCAAGUGUAGGCAUAGGCAGGGCAUGGUGUGUGGCAUCAGGUGUGUGGCAUUGGCAGAAUGUCAAGUGUAGGCAUAGGCAGGGCGGGGUGUGUGGCAUCAGGUGUGUGGCAUUGGCAGAAUGUCAAGUGUAGGCAUAGGCAGGGCAUGGUGUGUGGCAUCAGGUGUGUGGCAUUGGCAGAAUGUCAAGUGUAGGCAUAGGCAGGGCGGGGUGUGUGGCAUCAGGUGUGUGGCAUUGGCAGAAUGUCAAGUGUAGGCAUAGGCAGGGCAUGGUGUGUGGCAUCAGGUGUGUGGCAUUGGCAGAAUGUCAAGUGUAGGCAUAGGCAGGGCGGGGUGUGUGGCAUCAGGUGUGUGGCAUUGGCAGAAUGUCAAGUGUAGGCAUAGGCAGGGCAUGGUGUGUGGCAUCAGGUGUGUGGCAUUGGCAGAAUGUCAAGUGUAGGCAUAGGCAGGGCGGGGUGUGUGGCAUCAGGUGUGUGGCAUUGGCAGAAUGUCAAGUGUAGGCAUAGGCAGGGCGGGGUGUGUGGCAUCAGGUGUGUGGCAUUGGCAGAAUGUCAAGUGUAGGCAUAGGCAGGGCAUGGUGUGUGGCAUCAGGUGUGUGGCAUUGGCAGAAUGUCAAGUGUAGGCAUAGGCAGGGCGGGGUGUGUGGCAUCAGGUGUGUGGCAUUGGCAGAAUGUCAAGUGUAGGCAUAGGCAGGGCGGGGUGUGUGGCAUUGGCAGAAUGUCAAGUGUAGGCAUAGGCAGGGCGGGGUGUGUGGCAUCAGGUGUGUGGCA